rnacentral:rRNA from 1 species
AACAGGAUUAGAUACCCGCCGUAGUCCACGCCGUAAACGAUGGAUACUAGCUGUUGGGAGCAUUUUCAGUGGCUAAGCGAAAGUGAUAAGUAUCCCACCUGGGGAGUACGUUCGCAAGAACGAAACUCAAAGGAAUUGACGGGGGCCCGCACAAGCGGUGGAGCAUGUGGUUUAAUUCGAUGAUACGCGAGGAACCUUACCAAGGCUUAAAUGUAGAUUGACCGGUUUGGAAACAGAUCUUUCGCAAGACAAUUUACAAGGUGCUGCAUGGUUGUCGUCGGCUCGUGCCGUGAGGUGUCAGGUUAAGUCCUAUAACGAGCGCAACCCCUAUCGGUAGUUGCCAGCGGGUCAAGCCGGGAACUCUGCCGAAACUGCCAGCGUAAGCUGCGAGGAAGGCGUUGAUGACGUCAAAUCAGCACGGCCCUUACGUCCGGGGCGACACACGUGUUACAAUGGCCGGUACAG